GACGAACGCUGCGGCGUGCCUAAUACAUGCAAGUAGAACGCACAGGAUGCACCGUAGUUUAUUACACCGUAUUCUGUGAGUUGCGAACGGGUGAGUAACGCGUAGGUAACCUGCCUGGUAGCGGGGGAUAACUAUUGGAAACGAUAGCUAAUACCGCAUAAGAACAUUUACUGCAUGGUAGAUGUUUAAAAGGUGCAAAUGCAUCACUACCAGAUGGACCUGCGUUGUAUUAGCUAGUAGGUGAGGUAACGGCUCACCUAGGCGACGAUACAUAGCCGACCUGAGAGGGUGAUCGGCCACACUGGGACUGAGACACGGCCCAGACUCCUACGGGAGGCAGCAGUAGGGAAUCUUCGGCAAUGGGGGGAACCCUGACCGAGCAACGCCGCGUGAGUGAAGAAGGUUUUCGGAUCGUAAAGCUCUGUUGUUAAGGAAGAACGAGUGUGAGAAUGGAAAGUUCAUACUGUGACGGUACUUACCCAAAAAGG
rnacentral:rRNA from 1 species